GGGUGAGUAACACGUGGGCAACCUGCCCAAAAGAGGGGGAUAACACUUGGAAACAGGUGCUAAUACCGCAUAACCAUAGUUACCGCAUGGUAACUAUGUAAAAGGUGGCUAUGCUACCGCUUUUGGAUGGGCCCGCGGCGCAUUAGCUAGUUGGUGGGGUAAAGGCUUACCAAGGCAAUGAUGCGUAGCCGAACUGAGAGGUUGAUCGGCCACAUUGGGACUGAGACACGGCCCAAACUCCUACGGGAGGCAGCAGUAGGGAAUCUUCCACAAUGGGCGAAAGCCUGAUGGUGCAACGCCGCGUGGGUGAAGAAGGUCUUCGGAUCGUAAAACCCUGUUGUUAGAGAAGAAAGUGCGUGAGAGUAACUGUUCACGUUUCGACGGUAUCUAACCAGAAAGCCACGGCUAACUACGUGCCAGCAGCCGCGGUAAUACGUAGGUGGCAAGCGUUAUCCGGAUUUAUUGGGCGUAAAGGGAACGCAGGCGGUCUUUUAAGUCUGAUGUGAAAGCCUUCGGCUUAACCGGAGUAGUGCAUUGGAAACUGGGAGACUUGAGUGCAGAAGAGGAGAGUGGAACUCCAUGUGUAGCGGUGAAAUGCGUAGAUAUAUGGAAGAACACCAGUGGCGAAAGCGGCUCUCUGGUCUGUAACUGACGCUGAGGUUCGAAAGCGUGGGUAGCAAACAGGAUUAGAUACCCUGGUAGUCCACGCCGUAAACGAUG
rnacentral:rRNA from 1 species